AGUGAACGCUGGCGGCGUGCUUAACACAUGCAAGUCGAACGGACGAAAUAAGCUUGCUUAUUUCGUUAGUGGCGCACGGGUGAGUAAUGUAUAGCUAACCUGCCCUUUAGUGGGGGACAACAGUUGGAAACGACUGCUAAUACCCCAUACUCCUUCUUAUCAUAAGGUAAGUCGGGAAAGAUUUAUUGCUAACGGAUGGGGCUUUAUUGUAUCAGCUUGUUGGUGGGGUAAUGGCCUACCAAGGCGAUGACGCAUACCUGGUCUGAGAGGAUGAUCAGGCACACUGGAACUGAGACACGGUCCAGACUCCUACGGGAGGCAGCAGUGGGGAAUAUUGCACAAUGGGGGAAACCCUGAUGCAGCAACGCCGCGUGGAGGAUGACGCAUUUCGGUGUGUAAACUCCUUUUAUAAGGGAAGAAAAAAGGUCUUUCUAGAUCGUCUGACGGCACCUUAUGAAUAAGCACCGGCUAACUAC
rnacentral:rRNA from 1 species